UUUUAAUAGGCACCAGGCCUGAAAUUUUGUUAGGACGAGCUAGUAGAUUUACAUCGACCCCGGUAUUUAACUGGUAUUUAUUUCAUCGAUACCAAAAGGAAGAAAGGCAAAGUCGACCCCGGCGACAUUUGAACUCGGGACAUAAAAACGGAAGAAAUACUGUUAAGCAUUUUUGUCCAACGAAGUAACAAUUCUGCCAGGUUGCCGCUUUAAAUUGCGUCAGACACUAUUGAUUAUAAUAGUCUACUACUGCCUUGUAAUCGAAAGCUAACUGCAGCAUUACAGCAGACAACCGGAACAUUAAAGCUUCUACGUGGUUACUCCAAAGACGAAUAAUAGCAACCAAAUCUCCCUCAACUAGGGUCUUGAUAAAAAGAGACAUUAAAUAGUGUAAUCCUAUAUACCCCUAAAAAAGACGAGAUGGUUAAGUCUGUGACAUCUUUGAUUAUAGGUCCAACAAUAAUAUCUACAACCUGUGAUAUACGACCGCUACCCGGUCGUUCAAACUGCUAGCAACAGCAGCCAAAUCUCCCUCAAAUCACAACUUACUGUCUUUAUAAAAGUCAGAUUUUUCUUCAUGUAUGAUAAUUACAAAUAAUAGACAAUCUAACAUUUCGGAUACUAUCUCCAAACGAUUUUUUUUUUUGCAUAUUCGUAAUCUCCGACAUCUAAAUCCUAGGAACCCGAAGAAUUUUUUUCACAAAAAUGCAUUUUUCAAGGCGAAUCUGCAUUAGCCCGGGAUUACCCCAACACUGACUUUUCUUUAUCAAAAGACGAUAAGACUGAAUUAAGAAUUAACUUGUUUAAAGCCUUUCGUCACAGCUUAAGGGAACGUGUCCUAAUGCACCUUCUUCAUGCUAUUAUUAAUAAUAAAAGUGAAGUGAAAUACAGCCAGUGCGUGUUUUUCACUGGCACCAUAACCCUUCCAACGUAUCACACUAUUUACUUUAACACACGUUAAUGAAAAAUUUAGGAAAGCAAAUACGAAAACGAAUGUGCGUGUGUGUGAGAGAGACAGACAGAAAGACCCAACAACAUAGUUCCCGGUUUAGUCUUACUGCGUGUUAACUUGGGUGUCUUAUACUAUAGCCCCGGACCAACUCAAAGCUUUUUAUUUUCUUCCUUCCUUUAACCAACGAGUGAAUUACAUUCAGACGCCGCUGAUACUCAUAAGUGAGACACAAGCAUCAUGAACAAACGCAGAGGUGACAGGUUAAAUUUAUCGUAUAUGAUACUUUUUUUUUUUUUCCUAUACAGCUACUCCAGACUCCUCCCACACCACUUGUUGAGGCCAACUAUUUACAUAUUAAGUAGUCUGUGCGGUCAUUAAGAAUCUCGAAACUGGAAUUUGUUCGUGAAGUAGGAAGGUGUAGCGAAACGAAGAAAAAACUGAGCUAAAAUGUUGAUAAAUUAGAUGUAUCACUCAUUCUGUAAUUAUAGCUAACUAUAACAGUUGGAGGUGUGGUCGGCUGGAGAAAUACAAACACGCUCUUGUUUCGGAUCUGAAUAUAUAAAAACAACCAGGAAGAAAAUGCACUCUUGCAGAUUGAAUUACUGAUAUGUUAAACAAUUAGUAACGGAUAUAGAGGAAAUUAAACCGCUAUCCCUGACCAAUUAAUAGAAAAUAUCGAAGGAUGACUUUUUUGUUGAUUCUCAUUAUCUUUCGUUAUUAUUCUGGAACAAACAAAGGAUAGAAAUAAGUUUUCUUUCCCUAAGUUUCUUAGAUACAUAUUAUAGAAGUCUCGAGAAAAAUAAAACAAAAUAACGAGUAAGAAUACAAGAUGUAUAAUUACGCUGUGAAGAAAUCAACGUUUCGGACAAUAGUGCUUCGUCAAAAUCAGAAAAAAAAUUACAUAAGCAGAAUUGUAGACAGCUCGGUGAAUAAAAAGUUAUAUAUUUGUA